CACGUAGUUAGCCGGGGCUUCUUAGUCAGGUACCGUCAUUAUCUUUCCUGCUGAUAGAGCUUUACAUACCGAGAUACUUCUUCACCCACGCGGCGUCGCUGCAUCAGGGUUUCCCCCAUUGUGCAAUAUUCCCCACUGCUGCCUCCCGUAGGAGUCUGGGCCGUGUCUCAGUCCCAAUGUGGCCGUUCACCCUCUCAGGCCGGCUACUGAUCGUCGCUUUGGUGGGCCGUUACCCCGCCAACUGGCUAAUCAGACGCGGAUCCAUCGUAUACCACCGGAGUUUUUCACACCGCUCCAUGCGGAGCUGUGCGCUCAUGCGGUAUUAGCACCUAUUUCUAAGUGUUAUCCCCCGGUAUACGGCAGGUUAUCCACGCGUUACUCACCCGUCCGCCACUAACUCAUAGAUCACUAGGUUUCAGUAUGAGUCCGUUCGACUUGCAUGUGUUAGGCACGCCGCCAGCGUUCAUCCUGAGCCAGGAUCAAACUCU
rnacentral:rRNA from 1 species